UGAUUCUGAUGAUGUUAGGUUAACAAGAGCAAAUUGUACACACAAUUUUAGUUCCUGUAAAUAUAUAGAACUUGGCAUCAGUCACAUUGUGAUGGUAAAUCUUUCUGCUAUUUACAUUUUGUCAGGGUAAACCAGUAUGCACAGGACAAAUUGUGCAGUCUUUCAGCGUUGACAGCUGUUAAGUUAUAAUUAGAUGGAGAUAGUCAGUGUGUGUUCAGGUGUCGUUGCACUCGAACAUCUCAGCAGCUGAUGCCACUGAUUAGCACACCUUCCACCUGCUAAUGAGCUCCAGUGAGGCCCAAACAUUUUUGGGGACCACGGAAGACUGUUUGCACUGAUUUCAGUUGGGUUGUCAAUCCGGAAGCCUCCGCCAACGAAGUGAGGCUUGCUGCUCAGCUGGGGCAGAGGUUCCAGCUGCUCCACCUUGGUCUUGGUCAUCUGCUCACUAAUGAGACACACAGAGCUCCAGGACAUCAGAGAUUCUCUCUCUGAUGGUCCACUGGCACUGCUGGAGCUGCUCAGCUGCCUCUGGACCAGGCUGCCGGGCCAGGAUGUGCUUCAGUUCCACAUACAGCUUCUCCUUUUCCUUGGUGGGAAGAAGAAGAAGGAAAGGAAGAAUGAUGGCAACGAAAUCAAGUACAGUACUUCAAGUCAAGCUGAGUUAUGCUGAACCGAGAAGAACCAUGCAGUGGAAAAGAGGCUUUAGACAGCUGAUAGAAGUAAGAGAUAGCAGAUGUUACAACGCUGAGGGUCUUAUUUAUGGAACUCUGGAGAAUCCACACUAAAUGUUUGCAUACGAACAAAUGAGGAAAUACGUUCUUUGACUGAUGAGAGUUGCUCACACUCCUGCUGCAGCUUAGUAUUCUUCACCUGCAUCUGCUCCAGCUCCUUGGUGGAUCGCUCAUUCAUGAUCUGUUGCAGUCAGCGAAGAGAUUGGAUGGGUGGGGAGAAGUUUAUUACACACUGCAGCACAGUAACAACAGAUUCAGAGCCUUGACGUCCCCCAUCUUGGCUUCCAUGUCCAUGUGCAGCUGCUUCACCUCCUUGUCCAGCUUCUCUUUCAACCUCAUCUCUCGGGAAAUCUCAUUCUGCUGUACCUGGAGCUCCUGCUGG